UACGUAGGGUGCAAGCGUUAUCCGGAAUUAUUGGGCGUAAAGAGCUCGUAGGCGGUCUGUCGCGUCUGCUGUGAAAUCUGGGGGCUCAACCCCCCAGCCUGCAGUGGGUACGGGCAGACUAGAGUGCGGUAGGGGAGAUUGGAACUCCUGGUGUAGCGGUGGAAUGCGCAGAUAUCAGGAAGAACACCGAUGGCGAAGGCAGAUCUCUGGGCCGUAACUGACGCUGAGGAGCGAAAGCAUGGGGAGCGAACAGG
rnacentral:rRNA from 1 species